rnacentral:lncRNA from 1 species
CCCGGAUGGUGGGUAACAGACACACCGCAGGGUCAUCUGGGCUCACACACGUGCUCUCACCCUAGACACCAGUGGCCACAUGAAGCCAACCUCACAGGACCAAUCACACAGCUGACAAAUUUCGCACAAAGUCACACAAAUACACACAGCACGGGUAUCCUCCCCGUCCUUUCCCAUGCGCGUCAUCUCAGACACAGCCGGGUACCAGCACACAGAGCGCUGCGUGCAUUCACACCUGGAUACUCACAGACCCAGCCAGGCGAGUGUUUUGGAGGAGACCCCCAGAGGAACACACACUUCAAGCAGAGUCUACAUAACAAGCCUCAAAGGGAAGCGUGGGUCUUGUUGUGCUGUGGGUGACCUUGAACACAUUGCUUCUAAUCCCGUUUGGAAAACUGAAAGGGCUUUCGCGGAAGGACAGGACAAAGGGAAGCAUCAAGUGGCAGAGACUGGUAAUUCGGGUGUUUAA